AACCAUAGAAACCUGCGGAGUACCUGCGGAGGGAUCAUUACCGAGUUUACAACUCCCAAACCCCUGUGAACAUACCAAUUGUUGCCUCGGCGGAUCAGCCCGCUCCCGGUAAAACGGGACGGCCCGCCAGAGGACCCCUAAACUCUGUUUCUAUAUGUAACUUCUGAGUAAAACCAUAAAUAAAUCAAAACUUUUAGCAACGGAUCU
rnacentral:misc_RNA from 1 species